UAACAGUGAGAAAUCAUUGCUAAUACCGCAUACGCCAUGAACAUCACAUGAUGAAAGUGGGAAAAGAGUAAUCUGCUAGUAGAUGGGCUCGCGUCUGAUUAGAUAGUUGGUGGGGUAACGGCCUACCAAGUCGACGAUCAGUAGCCGGACUGAGAGGUUGAACGGCCACAUUGGGACUGAGAUACGGCCCAGACUCCUACGGGAGGCAGCAGUCGGGAAUAUUGCGCAAUGGAGGAAACUCUGACGCAGUGACGCCGCGUAUAGGAAGAAGGUUUUCGGAUUGUAAACUAUUGUCGUUAGGGAAGAUACAAGACAGUACCUAAGGAGGAAGCUCCGGCUAACUACGUGCCAGCAGCCGCGGUAAUACGUAGGGAGCAAGCGUUAUCCGGAUUUAUUGGGUGUAAAGGGUGCGUAGACGGGAAAGCAAGUUAGUUGUGAAAUCCCUCGGCUUAACUGAGGAACUGCAACUAAAACUGUUUUUCUUGAGUGUUGGAGAGGAAAGUGGAAUUCCUAGUGUAGCGGUGAAAUGCGUAGAUAUUAGGAGGAACACCGGUGGCGAAGGCGACUUUCUGGACAAUAACUGACGUUGAGGCACGAAAGUGUGGGGAGCAAACAGGAUUAGAUACCCUGGUAGUCCACACCGU
rnacentral:rRNA from 1 species